CGAUUAGAGUUUGAUCCUGGCUCAGGACGAACGCUGGCGGCAUGCCUAACACAUGCAAGUCAAGGGGUAGCAAUACCACUGGCGCACGGGUGAGUAACACGUAGGUUAUCUGCCCCCAUCACAGACAUAACCUCGGGAAACCGAGUGCUAAUAUCUGAUGAGGUCGUGAGAUCAAAGCUUCGGCGGAUGGGGAUGAGCCUGCGGCUGAUUAGCUAGUUGGUGAGGUAAUGGCUCACCAAGGCGACGAUCAGUAGCUGGUCUGAGAGGACGAACAGCCACACUGGAACUGAGACACGGUCCAGACUCCUACGGGAGGCAGCAGUGAGGAAUAUUGGUCAAUGGGAGCAAUCCUGAACCAGCAAUGCCAGCGUGUGGGAUGAAGGCGCUUCGCGUCGUAAACCACUGUCGGACGGGACGAAAGGAGCUAUGAAGCUCUAGUGACGGUACCGUCAAAGGAAGGAUCGGCUAACUACGUGCCAGCAGCCGCGGUAAUACGUAGGAUCCAAGCGUUGUCCGGAUUUACUGGGAUAAAGGGGCGUAGGCGGCCUUGUGCGUCAGAGGUGAAAAUCUCCGGGCUUAACCCGGAGGGUGCCUUUGAUUACG
rnacentral:rRNA from 1 species